rnacentral:tRNA from 1 species
ACCUGUGCCUGAAAGUUA